rnacentral:rRNA from 1 species
UACGAAGGGUGCAAGCGUUACUCGGAAUUACUGGGCGUAAAGCGUGCGUAGGUGGUUCGUUAAGUCUGAUGUGAAAGCCCUGGGCUCAACCUGGGAAUGGCAUUGGAAACUGGCGACCUAGAGUGCGGUAGAGGGUAGUGGAAUUCCCGGUGUAGCAGUGAAAUGCGUAGAGAUCGGGAGGAACAUCAGUUGCGAAGGCGGCUCUCUGGACCAGCACUGACACUGAGGCACGAAAGCGUGGGGAGCAAACAGG